rnacentral:rRNA from 1 species
GACGAACGCUGGCGGCGUGCUUAACACAUGCAAGUCGAACGGAAAGGCCCUGCUUGCAGGGUGCUCGAGUGGCGAACGGGUGAGUAACACGUGGGUGAUCUGCCCCUUACUUUGGGAUAAGCCUGGGAAACUGGGUCUAAUACUGGAUAGGACCAUGCUGUAGGUGGUGUGGUGGAAAGAUUAGUUUCGGUAAGGGAUGAGCUCGCGGCCUAUCAGCUUGUUGGUGGGGUAAUGGCCUACCAAGGCGUCGACGGGUAGCCGGCCUGAGAGGGUGGACGGCCACAUUGGGACUGAGAUACGGCCCAGACUCCUACGGGAGGCAGCAGUGGGGGAUAUUGCACAAUGGGCGCAAGCCUGAUGCAGCGACGCCGCGUGGGGGGUGACGGCCUUCGGGUUGUAAACUCCUUUCAGCCAUGACGAAGCCCUUGUGGUGACGGUAGUGGUAGAAGAAGCACCGGCUAACUACGUG